GUUUUAAUAGCUUAAAACAUAAAGCACAAUACUGAAGAUAUUAAGAUAAUUUAUAAAAUUUUAAAACAACCA
rnacentral:tRNA from 1 species